GAUAUGUGAAUACAUAGCAUAUCAGAAGGCACACCCGGAGAACUGAAACAUCUUAGUACCCGGAGGAAGAGAAAGAAAAUUCGAUUCCCUUAGUAGCGGCGAGCGAAACGGGAAGAGCCCAAACCAACAAGCUUGCUUGUUGGGGUUGUAGGACACUCUAUACGGAGUUACAAAGGACGACAUUAGACGAAUCAUCUGGAAAGAUGAAUCAAAGAAGGUAAUAAUCCUGUAGUCGAAAAUGUUGUCUCUCUUGAGUGGAUCCUGAGUACGACGGAGCACGUGAAAUUCCGUCGGAAUCUGGGAGGACCAUCUCCUAAGGCUAAAUACUCUCUAGUGACCGAUAGUGAACCAGUACCGUGAGGGAAAGGUGAAAAGCACCCCGGAAGGGGAGUGAAAUAGAACCUGAAACCGUGUGCUUACAAGUAGUCAGAGCCCGUUAAUGGGUGAUGGCGUGCCUUUUGUAGAAUGAACCGGCGAGUUACGAUUUGAUGCAAGGUUAAGCAGUAAAUGUGGAGCCGUAGCGAAAGCGAGUCUGAAUAGGGCGUUUAGUAUUUGGUCGUAGACCCGAAACCAGGUGAUCUACCCUUGGUCAGGUUGAAGUUCAGGUAACACUGAAUGGAGGACCGAACCGACUUACGUUGAAAAGUGAGCGGAUGAACUGAGGGUAGCGGAGAAAUUCCAAUCGAACCUGGAGAUAGCUGGUUCUCUCCGAAAUAGCUUUAGGGCUAGCCUCAAGUGAUGAUUAUUGGAGGUAGAGCAC
rnacentral:rRNA from 1 species